GACAAAUAGCUUGUCUGGUAGAGCACGAGACUCUUAAUUUCAGGGCCGUGAGUUCAAGUCCCACAUUGGGCA